CCCCUCUCAGGGUCGCACCUGGAGAAUUUCCAGUAUUCUACCAGUGUCGACUACAGGAGGAAGAGUCAAGUAGAGGCAUGUCCAUUCCAUUCUAGCUUGGGCAGUGGCUAGGGAGUGGAAGGCAAUCUGCUACAAGU
rnacentral:snoRNA from 1 species